AUUGAACGCUGGCGGCAUGCUUUACACAUGCAAGUCGAACGGUAACAGGGUGCUUGCACCGCUGACGAGUGGCGAACGGGUGAGUAAUGCGUCGGAACGUGCCGAGUAGUGGGGGAUAACGCAGCGAAAGUUGUGCUAAUACCGCAUACGUACUGAGGUAGAAAGUGGGGGACCUUCGGCCCUCACGCUAUUAGAGCGGCCGACGUCUGAUUAGCUAGUAGGUGAGGUAAAGGCUCACCUAGGCGACGAUCAGUAGCGGGUCUGAGAGGAUGAUCCGCGACACUGGGGCUGAGACACGGCCCAGACUCCUACGGGAGGCAGCAGUGGGGAAUUUUGGACAAUGGGCGAAAGCCUGAUUCAGCCAUGCCGCGUGUCUGAAGAAGGCCUUCGGGUUGUAAACUGCUUUUGUACGGAGCGAAAAGGCUCCCUCUAAUACAGGGGGCUCAUGACGGUACCGUAAGAAUAAGCACCGGCUAACUACGUGCCAGCCGCCGCGGUAAUAC
rnacentral:rRNA from 1 species